UACGUAUGGGGCAAGCGUUAUCCGGAUUUACUGGGUGUAAAGGGAGCGUAGGUGGUUUGGCAAGUCAGAUGUGAAAGCCCGGGGCUCAACCCCGGUAGUGCAUUUGAAACUGCCAAACUAGAGUGCAGGAGAGGUAAGUGGAAUUCCUAGUGUAGCGGUGAAAUGCGUAGAUAUUAGGAGGAACACCAGUGGCGAAGGCGACUUACUGGACUGUAACUGACACUGAGGCUCGAAAGCGUGGGGAUCAAACAGG
rnacentral:rRNA from 1 species